AAACCGGUGGUCUCCCUCCUCUAAGGUGUGAUCGGCAAUUCCACUCCCUGGUAUGUGCCCUACUGAGGCACCCACUCAAGUUCACCCAAAGGUUAUUUACAGCAGCAUGACCCACGAUCCCCUACGUUGGAGACAACUCAGACGUCCACGGUGGACUGGUUGCAGUAUGUCCAUCUGACGGAAUUCUGCACAGGAUUGAAAGAGACAACUGCAUACAGCUGGACGCCAAUGUGUGCACCUCGCACGUAUACAGCUGGGCAACAGCAGCCAUUCACAAGCAGCAGGAUGUAAGGAGGCUCCCCCUCAGGUGGUGCAGGUGGGGGCUGGAGCCUGAGGGCGUGCCCCCUUCCGGUUCGUGCAGGCGCCUGGCCACGCCCCUCUUUGUGCUGGCCCUGCCCUCACUGCAGCUGGACUCAGGUGAUACCAGCCGGCUUCUUCCCCCGCUAGACCACCAGCUGCUGGGAAUGCGGACUUUCUGAGCCGCUCCACCCGGUGUCUGGCACGCCACAGCUGCUGGGCAAGGAUGUCACGAGUGAAUUGAGAGAGGAAUGUUGAGCCAGAAGUGUCAUAGCCAGAUUUACUCAAUGCUGGUGAGUAAGUCCUGGGGAUUCUGCUGCAUCAUAACUUCCUUUGGGCUUGGAUGUCUUUUAGAUGGUAUGUUCUGAACAGUUGGAAGUUUCUUGGCCUCUGGGACUGAAACAGUGGAUGUUUGGUAGAUGCAUCCAGAAGGAAGUGGCUGGAAUGUGACUCGCGCGGCCCGCCUGAGUGCAGAUGGGGUAAACAGGCUUCAACGACCUCUGCUCAUUUAGAACCAGAGGAAGUUGGGAGCUGAAGCGUGAACAGCGGGGUGGAGGCUGGCCAAAGUCUGGAUGGCCCAAUUCUAGCUUUUUUCUCAUUACACGGGGAGCCCGUGACAAUGUCCCUGGAGCGUCUCAGGCUGACAAAAUCACCCCAUCAGCAUUUUCACUGGCAAUCAAUUAGGUGUGCCCUGGGCAACCCGUCCCCGGGGAGGAGAGCCAGGCCUGAUCUUCUCAGAGGGACAGCUGGGGGCGGGGGGGUUGGCCCAUGGCCCGGCGACAGUGGGUUGGGGCCAGGGGAGUCACAAAGGCGCGGUCGGGACAGCUUGGGGUUUGCACCGGGGCUGCCUAGGCCAGCACAAGGGUGUCUGAGACGACGGCGAGGUUCCGACCCCCGUAACGUUCUUCGGGGGUCGCGGCGAAGUUGGGACUCGCUCUGCAGCCAAACUGUGCUCCCAAGGGCAUGUCUGAGGCUGGCCACACGGGGCCACGUCGACGGCGGCACUGACGGACACGAGGGACAGGACGUGGGGCAGCUAUCUGCUAACAGCCAGGAAACCUCUCCAUAAGGGUAGAAGAGAAGGACACAAUUCUGUGAUGAGCUGGCGUUAAACCAGGAUGUGACGCACAGCACAGCCACUGCUGAAGCCACUGCAAAGACAGAAAGAAACCAGACUCUUUUCAGUAAGGAGCCUUUGCCGUUAGAGUCCAGUGACUCGUUCAGCCCAUUCCCCCCACCCCCCGCCCCCCAGGAAAUGGGUGAUGGGGAGUCACCUUCCCUGAAGAUCACAGUUCAAAUAGCUGGCUCCCAGGCCUUGAGGAGACAUUCCUGAGUGGUGAGACAGCCCAUUAAGAAGAUUUACAAACAUUUGGAAAGGACAGAGAAAGACAUUCUGGAAAGGGAGGGGAGGAGGAGCCUCAUCUCUUAUUUUCAGCAGGGAAGAGCUCCCAUCUGCCCUGGUAGCGCCCACCGGCCAGCCCUCGGGUGGCCCCUGGGCAGGUGGGGGUGUGGGCGGAUGGGAAGGUCCGCGCCAGGAGCAGACAGAAGGGCCCAGACUCUGCGCAGGACGUGGGGCGCAGCCGGCUGCAGCAGGGACCCCAGCCCUGAGACCAUUAAGCCGCGUGGCUACUGGACUUUGUGAGAGAUCAGUAGGGACCCGCCUGGGGCUACUGCCCAGCUGCUCCUCCGAGCCCACACGCUCUCGCAGGAAAAAGACUGAGGAGAUAAGCUAGGACUCUCUACCCACCGCCCAUAGCUGCCACAAGGAUGGAGAGCUCACCCGUGUCUCCCAUGACACCGUCUGUGCCGGCAAGCGCCCGGCACCUGCGUCCGGUGGGCGAGAGAUCUGAAGUCUCCGUAGAGAAGUGUGUGUGCACCCGGAAAGCGUCAUCAACAGGGAGACCAAACGCGAGGAGCUGGACAUUCUUUCUCUGCGAAAGAACAUCUGAUUGGAAAAAAAUGCAGCUCCAGGGACCUAAGCGUUUAUUUUGAAAUAACUUCAAACAGAAAAUUCAAGAAAAGUUGCAAGAAUAAAGAGGGGACUGUCUGUGUAGCUUCACUCUGACUUACUGAUUUCUUACAUUUUAUCCCAUUUCCUUCAACACUCACACUCUCUCUGAAGUGCUUUUAGAACCAACGGAAAGUAAGAGGGAGACCGCAUGUCCCUUCGCCUGUGAGUACCUCGGUGUGCAUAUCCUGGGAGCGUGGACUUUUCCCUGCAAAUCCUCAGUGCCACUGUCGGAUAAUAUAACACAAUCAUACGACCAACAGUC